UGGAAGUAAAAGUCGUAACAAGGUUUCCGUAGGUGAACCUGCGGAAGGAUCAUUAUUGAUUGGUCGAAAGACCUUAUCAGAUUCUACCACCUCUGUGAACUGUUGGACCUCCGGGUCUACAAUCAAACAUCAGUGUAACGAACGUAAGAGUAUCUUAACGAAACAAAACUUUCAACAACGGAUCUCUUGGCUCUCGCAUCGAUGAAGAACGCAGCGAAAUGCGAUAAGUAAUGUGAAUUGCAGAAUUCAGUGAAUCAUCGAAUCUUUGAACGCACCUUGCGCCUUUUGGUAUUCCGAAAGGCAUGCCUGUUUGAGUGUCAUGAAAUCUCAAUCCUCCUAGGUUUUUGACCUGGUUGGACUUGGACAUGGGCGUCUGCCAGCAAUGGCUCGCCUUAAAUGACUUAGUGGAACAUCCCACAUCAGUGUUAGACGUAAUAAGUUUCGUCUCUCCUUGUGGUGAUGACUGCUCAUAAUCUGCCAUCGCGCACUUUUGACUUUGACCUCAAAUCAGGUAGGGCUACCCGCUGAACUUAAGCAUAUCAAUAAGCGGAGGA
rnacentral:rRNA from 1 species